AUUGCUUUCUCAAGUGAAAAAUGCAAACCGUUUAUUUACUAAACCAGGAAUUGUGCAGAAGUAACAAGAUAAUUGCAUAUUUUAUCCUAAAAAAAUCAAAGCCCGGGAAAUUGAUGAGGCGGAGAAUGUUUAUUUCAAAUUCUGUUAAUACAAUUAUGCCUUUGCUUUGAUCCUUUACAAAUCCCAGUUUAGUGACAGACUCCAACAUUGUAGGUUUACGUCACAGGAAAAGUCAGUUUUAUAUUGGGCUGAGCUAAUAAACAGAACUGAAGAUUUCAGAAUAAAUUAUUCCACAAACGUAAGAUUUUUAGAGCUGUAUUUUUAUAUGAACAUUUUACGUAAUAAAGGUCCAGAGAACACUGACAUUUUG